UGUCAUCCUGGAAGACGCGUGCAGGCAGAUGCAGAAGAGCAGUGACUACGCAGUGUGUCCUGAUGCACAGCAGGGGCGGGGGAGACAGAGACAGAGACAGAGACAGAGACUGGGCCUGGCAUGGACUUUGGAACCUCAGAGUUCACCCCUAGUGAUACUUUCUCCAACAAGACCACUCCCACUCAAACAAGGCUACAGUCCUAAUAUUUGUUUCCGACAGUUCCACUCCCUGGUGACUAAGCGUCUUAGGCCUAUGGAGGCCAUUCUUAUUCCAACUACCACACUAACACAUUCAUUAAAGUAAUGUGUUCUUUUGCCAGGCAUGAUCACAUAUACCUUUGAUCCCAGAUCUUGGGAGUCAGAGGCAAGUAGAUCUUUGAGCUUGAGACCAACUGGGGCUAUGUGGUGAAAACUUUGUCUCAAAAAAAGAAAAAAAAAAAAUUCCCACAUUAGUUUUAAAAAAAAAAAAAA
rnacentral:lncRNA from 1 species